GACGUAGGGCGCGAGCGUUGUCCGGAUUUAUUGGGUGUAAAGAGCUCGUAGGCGGCUUGUCGCGUCGACCGUGAAAACUUGGGGCUCAACCCCAAGCCUGCGGUCGAUACGGGCAGGCUAGAGUUCGGUAGGGGAGACUGGAAUUCCUGGUGUAGCGGUGAAAUGCGCAGAUAUCAGGAGGAACACCGGUGGCGAAGGCGGCUCUCUGGGACGGUACUGACGCUGAGACGCGAAAGCGUGGGGAGCGAACAGG
rnacentral:rRNA from 1 species